rnacentral:rRNA from 1 species
CAAUAGCGUAUAUUAAAGUUGUUGCGGUUAAAAAGCUCGUAGUUGGAGUUCUGCCAGGUGACACUCGUCCGCCCAAGUGGUGUGUACAGGGUGUGCAUCUGGCCCUUUCAUGGGGAACGUGUCUGCACUUCAUUGUGUGGUGCGAGAUCCUUGACUUUUACUUUGAGGAAAUAAGAGUGUUCCAAGCAGGCUCUCGUCGUGCAUAGCUCAGCAUGGAAUAAUAGCAUUGGACUUCGUUUCUACGCUGUUGGUUGCAAGAAGCGAGGUAAUGAUGAAGAGGGAUAGUUGGGGGCAUUCGUAUUUAACUGUCAGAGGUGAAAUUCUCGGAUUUGUUAAAGACGGACUACUGCGAAAGCAUCUGCCAUGGAUGUUUUCAUUGA